rnacentral:rRNA from 1 species
AGGCCACUGCUAUCAGAGUUCGAUUAAGCCAUGCGAGUCGAGAGGUGUAAGACCUCGGCAUACUGCUCAGUAACACGUGGACAACCUACCCUAAGGAGGGGGAUAACCCGGGAAACUGGGGAUAAUACCCCAUAGACUAUGGAUGCUGGAAUGCUUCGUAGUUCAAAGGUCCGCCGCCUUAGGAUGGGUCUGCGGCCGAUUAGGUUGUUGUUGGGGUAACGGCCCAACAAGCCUGUAAUCGGUACGGGUUGUGGGAGCAAGAGCCCGGAGAUGGAUUCUGAGACACGAAUCCAGGCCCUACGGGGCGCAGCAGGCGCGAAAACUUUACAAUGCGAGAAAUCGUGAUAAGGGAACUCUGAGUGCCCGUAAAAUCGGGCUGUCCAUCUGUUUAAAUAACAGGUGAAGAAAGGGCCGGGCAAGACCGGUGCCAGCCGCCGCGGUAAUACCGGCGGCUCGAGUGGUGGCCACUAUUACUGGGCUUAAAGCGUCCGUAGCUGGUCUGUUAAGUCUCUGGGGAAAUCUUCCGGCUCAACCGGAAGGCGUCUCAGGGAUACUGGCAGACUAGGGACCGGGAGAGGUGAGAGGUACUCCAGGGGUAGGGGUGAAAUCCUGUAAUCCUUGGGGGACCACCUGUGGCGAAGGCGUCUCACCAGAACGGCUCCGACAGUGAGGGACGAAAGCUGGGGGAGCAAACCGGAUUAGAUACCCGGGUAGUCCCAGCCGUAAACGAUGCGCGUUAGGUGUAUCGGUGACCACGAGUCACCGAGGUGCCGAAGAGAAAUCGUGAAACGCGCCGCCUGGGAAGUACGGUCGCAAGGCUGAAACUUAA